CUUCCAGGGAGGAUUCGCUUGUUGCUGCAGAGCUUUUUGAGGUCAUGCACUACAGCAAACUUUUGGGGAUCCACAACCUGGAGCAGGUGGUCCGGGAGCAGGCUGGAGAGGAGGCAGUGGGGGCGGCCGACCAGAGGCCCCCACCAUCACARGGCCAGAAGUCCCUCUACUGCACCGCCAUAGAGGCCAUCCGAGGAGAAGCGCACGGCAAGGAAGCACUGGACACUGAGAACAAGCGUGCAGUCAGAACGCUCUGACCUACUCCCCAAGACCCCCACACACAAUGAUGUCACCAGUAACUCUGGUGAAACAACCCUCCAACUCAUCGUUGGGAAACUCGGGGCUCACUACCACGGCUCCUCCCAUCAGGUCAGUGGGAAAGGAGGAGCACAAGGCAGCCAGCACAGAGCAGGACGCUAGCACCCCYAAGAGGUGAGGAACGGAAAUGCAUUCUAAGCUCUUAGUUUCACACAGACACAACUUCUCUCUUGUCCUCAGGUGUUGAAGCACUGACAUCAGUGUCAUCAGUUGACGAGUGUUUCUGUGGAGAUAACGGCAUAGUUCCUCAGACAUACUUGCAUAACAGCUGCAUUCGAUACCUCAACACUGCAACCUAU